UCGAGAAUCUUCGGCAAUGGACGCAAGUCUGACCGAGCGAUGCCGCGUGCGGGAUGAAGGCCCUCGGGUUGUAAACCGCUGUCAGUUGGGAGGAAAUGCCAUGGGGUUCACUCCAUGGUUUGACCGAUCUUCAGAGGAAGGACGGGCUAAGUUCGUGCCAGCAGCCGCGGUAACACGAACCGUCCAAACGUUAUUCGGUAUCACUGGGCUUAAAGCGUGCGUAGGCGGCCUGGAAGGUGAGAUGUGAAAUCCCACGGCUCAACCGUGGAACUGCGUUUCAAACCACCAGGCUUGAGGAAGACAGGGGUGAUGGGAACUUAUGGUGGAGCGGUGAAAUGCGUUGAUAUCAUAGGGAACACCGGUGGCGAAGGCGCAUCACUGGGUCUUUACUGACGCUCAGGCACGAAAGCUAGGGUAGCGAACGGGAUUAGAUACCCCCGUAGUCC
rnacentral:rRNA from 1 species